rnacentral:lncRNA from 1 species
UCUUUCACUUUUCAGUGUUUGAGGCCUGUACUUCAGAAGUUAAAUUUAUUCCUUUUUAAUUUUUUCAAUGCUAUUAUAAAUGUAAUUAUUUUCUUAAUUUCACUUUUGAAUUAUUCACUGCAAGUAUAUACAAGAACAAUUUUUGUUUUGUAUCUUGUAUGUACAGUUUAUAUUUUUUUGAUGUAUUGAUCUUGUAUUCUGUAGCUGACUUCAUUAAUCAGUUUUAGUUUUUAGUGCAUUCCUGAAGAUUUUGUCUAUUCAGGGGCCCCUGGGUGGCUCAGUGGCUGAGCAUCUGCCUUUGGCUCAGGGCAUGAUCCCAGGGUCCUGGGAUCGAGUCCCACAUCAGGCUAUCCACAGGGAGUCUGCAUCUCCCUCUGCUUACAUCUCUGCCUCUCUCUAACUGUGUCUCUCAUAAAUAAAUAAAUAAAAUCUUAAAAAAAAAGGUUUUGUGUAUUCAAGAUUACAUUGUCUGCAAACAGAUAGUUGGAGGGAAGAUCACAUAGAAUAGUGCAUAUGUCUGGUAUGUAGUGAGCUCUCCAUAGGUGACAGCUUGUCUCAUGCUUCCUUGUUAGGUGCUAUUCCCCUCCUGCUACCACAGGUGGAGGUUCUCCUCCUCUGCAGUCAAUCCUCCGCAGGCCAUCUCUGCCUGGCUGGAUUUCCAAGGACUGAACUACAGGCAAGGCUGCCGUGCCUGAACCAAUUUACUCUAAGCCCUGAACACCACUUUCAGCCCCCUCAUUGGCCCUGGCUCUAGCAUCUUCUCCCAGGCAGAAAGCAAUCCCAGACCCAAACUGUGCCCGCCCCCAUGGUGUCCCCAAACAGAAAAAGAACAGAAGUGCAGGUUUUCACAGCUCUGCAUUCCAUCUUCCCAAGAUGAGUCCUGUGGGGAGGGGGUCCUUUGAGUGUGAGGGAAAGAUAUGGAGAGAACCUACCUUAGCAGAGGAUCCUUCAAACCAAAUUGUGACUGACUCCAAAUAAACCAAAGUAAAAAAAAAAAAAAAAAAGCUACAUAAAUGCUAAUUUUAUAUUAAAAUUAUAAUAUCUAAACAUUCUGCCCCCGUGUAUAUUACAUACCUGUAAAGCAGUUUCCAAACACUCAACACAUUUCAUUGCUUGCACACAAGGGCUGGGCCCUGUCCUGGUGUCAGGACCAUGGUUCUACCUUGAGGUGCCCAAGUUCAGUGACAGAGAUGAGGUGAGCUGUGCCAGGUGGGCUUUGCCGGCUCUCUGACAGAGUCUACCUUGAAUAAGCUCUUACACUGUGUUGUGAGUUCGGCUUUCAAGUGCACAGUCUCCUCUUCAUUGAGGGGAUAGGGCCAAGGGUAUUCAUGGGCCUUUGGAUACGCAUUGGGUUUCCUGGCAGUCUCCAGAGUGGACCCAGGCCUUGAUGGGGAUGGAGGCCCUGCUGCCUCUGAGAAGCGUACCCUUCACCCAGCAUGAGGCCAGGCUCAUCACCAACCUCUGCCCUAACUGCCUGAUGCCUUGUCCCCUCCACAUGCGGGGCAGGGGCUGAGGCCAGUCCUCCAGCAGGAGCUGAGCGUCAACGACCACCCAUUGCUUGUGCUCCCUCUUCCCAGCCUCUGUCAAGUCAAGGCAAUAAGGCCUUUUCCACAGGGCCACAGGGAGGAUGAGGUUGGCAGUGAGCACAGUGCAGGGGCUCAGUGAGGGUCUGUCACCUUCCUGUGUCCCUCUUACAUGGGGUAGAAGGCAUAGUGGUCAACACGUGCAGUUCACUUCCUCUGAGUCAGGUGCUAUGCUUGCCCCCUUUAAUGAGGCCUCAUUCAGUCCUGGAGUCAGGGCCCCACACUGUGCCCUGGUCUGAGAGCACAGUCAGCGUCCGCUGCUCUGGAGCACGGUAAGCAGCAGGGCCAAGGAGGCAACUCCAGGCAGAAGAACCUGCUCAGCCUAAGCCCUGCCUGAGGGAGGCCAGGCUGGGCUGCGCUGCACGCCAGUCCCUGGAGGGCACAGGGGCCCAAGAGUGGAUCCCCACCCCUCGUUGGAGCCCAGGUCCCCACCUCCAUACCUCCCCCACCCCAGGGAAUCACACAGCUGCACUCAACCAACACAGGAUUGCUCAGAGAUAUUAUUCCCCACGCUGAAAAAAAAACCAAGGCUAUUAUGAGCAGAGUCUGUUGAAAGAAGGGCUGAGAGCAUUUUGGAGAAGCAUUGCUGUUAGUCGGUUUUAUGGCACAUUUGCAUUUAAAUAGAUUCUUUAACUCUUUUUCUGAACUUCACAAUAAUACAGCCUUAAAGUGCUGACUAAUAGGGUGGCGUGUACUUAAUUUUCACUUUAAUUUUAACACUGAUACAUUGUCUUAUCGUAGCCGUUCCAGCUCAAAUGACACUUGCAAAAACGCAAGUUUUAAAUGUGUUUUUUUGUUCUUUUUGGUUAAAAAUCAGACAGCUCCUGGACCUGCGUUACAGAAAAGGUGCUCAUCUUGUCGGUGGGCCCAGCUGUCCCAGGCCUGAGCUCUUCCUAGAAUUCAGCCAGCCGUGGCUCCCACCUCCGACCUUGGCAAGCUGCAGCCUCCUGCAGGAGAGCCCUGCCAGGAAGGGCUCCGCACGCUGAGAGCCAGACCUCCCUGGGCAUCAGCCAGGGGAGUGCUGGUCUGGCUCAUACCGCCUCUCAAGAGCUGAUGAUUACGUGUUUAGGAAAUUUGCAAGCCAGUUUCUCAACUGCCAGUUUCUCAACAAUCAUUAU